CCUACGGGGGGCAGCAGUGGGGAAUAUUGCGCAAUGGGCGAAAGCCUGACGCAGCGACGCCGCGUGAGGGAUGAAGGUCUUCGGAUCGUAAACCUCUGUCAGCAGGGAAGAACGGUCACUGUGCUAAUCAGCAGUGAAUUGACGUUACCUGCAAAGGAAGCACCGGCUAACUCCGUGCCAGCAGCCGCGGUAAUACGGAGGGUGCGAGCGUUAAUCGGAAUUACUGGGCGUAAAGCGCUCGUAGGCGGUAUGUCAAGUCACGGGUGAAAUCCCCGCGCUCAACGUGGGAACUGCCUUUGAAACUGGCAAACUGGAGUGUGUGAGAGGAUAGUGGAAUUCCAGGUGUAGGAGUGAAAUGCGUAGAUAUCUGGAGGAACAUCAGUGGCGAAGGCGACUAUCUGGCACAUAACUGACGCUGAGGAGCGAAAGCGUGGGUAGCAAACAGGAUUAGAUACCCGGGUAGUC
rnacentral:rRNA from 1 species